rnacentral:rRNA from 1 species
UACGUGGAGGGGCAAGCGUUGUCCGGAUUUAUUGGGCGUAAAGAGCGUGUAGGCGGCCACACAGGUCUGCUGUGAAAACUCGAGGCUCAACCUCGAGCUGUCGGUGGAAACCGUGUGGCUAGAGUCCGGAAGAGGAGAGUGGAAUUCCCGGUGUAGCGGUGAAAUGCGCAGAUAUCGGGAAGAACACCCGUGGCGAAGGCGGCUCUCUGGGACGGUACUGACGCUGAGACGCGAAAGCGUGGGGAGCGAACAGG